rnacentral:hammerhead_ribozyme from 1 species
AUCCAGCUGACAAGUCUCAAACAGGACGAAAUGCGCAUUAUCCUGGAU